AACGAACGCUGGCGGCAUGCCUAACACAUGCAAGUCGAACGAGACCUUCGGGUCUGCUGGCUCACACGUGCGUAGCGUGUCGGAACCUUCCCUUAUACUCCGGAUUACUCCUCGACGUGGGUGAUAAUACCGGAUAAUUUCUUCUAAUCACGGAUUUAUCGUCUUUGGGGGGGCCCGCGUUGUUUUAGCUAGGUGGUAUGGUAUAAGCCUAUCUAGGCUACGAUCCAUAGCUGGUAUGAGAGGAUGAUCAGCAACACUGGGACUGAGACACGGCCCAGACUCCGACGGGAGGGAGCAGGGGGGAAUAAGGGACAAUGGGCGAAAGCCUGAUGCAGCAAUGCCGCGAGAGUGAUGAAGGCGGUAGGGAUGUAAAGAGCUUUUACCCGGGAUGAUAAGGAGAGAACCGGGAGAAAAAGCCCGGGCAAACUCGGU
rnacentral:rRNA from 1 species